AUACUUACCUGGACGGGGUCAAUGGACGAUCAAUAAGGCCCAUGGCCUAGGCUAGUGACCUCCAUUGCACUUUGGAGGGGUGCUAGCCUAAGGUCGACCCAAGUGGUCGAGCCUACGUCAUAAUUUGUGGCAGUAGGGGCUUGCGUCCGCGCGGCCCCUAC
rfam:Nicotiana sylvestris Nsyl_contig95695, whole genome shotgun sequence.